UGUAGUGGAAUGUUCGGAAACACAUAGGUGCCUAACACCUACUGAUUUAAUUCUGUGUCUUUAGGUGUCCACAGACAUUUUAAAAACUGGCCCGCUGCCUCAAUUCCCUAGCUGUAAAAUUUGGAGAACAGCAGUGCCCUACAUCACCGGGAAGAGAUUGUGGGGUGGCACCAUGCUGAAAAUGGAAUUGAUGAGCUGGGAGAAAACAAUUGCUUUGGACCAAUGCCAUGUUCCAGAUAUGGGGAGCAAUGAGCUGAUGGUGGAGAGGCUGGAGACUGACUCCCCAACCCCACAAAACAAUUGGGGCUGAAGUGGACAAACAAAGUAACUGAAUCUUGAAAAUGGGCCGAAAUGAAACAUCCCGGACCUGAGCACCCAAGCCAGUAGGGUAAGGGUCUCCAGGUGAGAAGGGCCUUAAAGAAAAGGGACUGAGUGGUUUUACAGCCUACAUGAGCUGAGAUAAGGAUAAUCAACUCCUGUGCUUUCAGGGCUUGCUCUGUGAGGGGUAGUGGGGAGUAGCCAGAGAUGUGUUGCUGGAGGCAGGAUGCUUGACUUGAUGGGCCCAUCCACUGUUUUAUUAUUAGUUAUGUUACACUGUUGCCUAGAGGCCCUAAUGUGCUGCGGGUUGUAGAGACACUUAGCGACCAUCCCCGUCCCAAAGAUUUUUGUUGGCUUUGUUUGAGGUCACCCAGGGAGUCUGUGGCAGAGCUGAGAACUGAGCCCAGAUGUCCCAGUCAAGAGCCUUAACCACACAACUAUCUUGAGAGUGGGUGUUGAGGGGAGAUCCAGCCCACAAGACAUUUCUUCUCAGACCCAUGAGACUCCUCUGUGCUUUGCCAUUGGUGGUGUCACAGCUGUGUUUGAGGGCGUGGGUGGAGUCUGUCAUGAGUAUAUUCAGUCCAUCUUUCACCCGAUGACACGUGCCCUGAGCAGACCCCACUACAUCAAGGAUGGAGAGAAGCAUUAACUCCCUCUUCCAUUUUGGGCCUGCAGUGAAAUCUAGUAGAUGGGGUCAAGGUUUAAGGCCGGGGGGACCAUUAUGACCAUCUAGACCAGGGGUCGGCAGCCUUUCAGAAGCGGUGUGCUGAGUCUUCAUUUAUUCACUCUAAUUUAAGGUUUCGCGUGCCAGUAAUACAUUUUAAGAAGGUCUCUUUCUAUAAGUCUAUAAUACUUUACAUACAACAAUAGUUUAGUUAUAUAAAUAAGGUUUUUAAAACGUUUAAGAAGCUUCAUUUAAAAUUAAAUAAAAAUGCAGAGCCCCCCGGACCA
ensembl:lncRNA